rnacentral:misc_RNA from 1 species
GAUGAAGAACGCAGCGAAAUGCGAUAAGUAAUGUGAAUUGCAGAAUUCAGUGAAUCAUCGAAUCUUUGAACGCACAUUGCGCCCGCCAGUAUUCUGGCGGGCAUGCCUGUUCGAGCGUCAUUUCAACCAUCAAGCCCCAGGCUUGUGUUGGGGACCUGCGGCUGCCGCAGGCCCUGAAAACCAGUGGCGGGCUCGCUGUCACACCGGGCGUAGUAGAUUUUAUCUCGCUCAGGGCGUGCUGCGGGUUCCGGCCGUUAAAAAGCCUUUUUUACCCAAGGUUGACCUCGGAUCAGGUAGGAAGACCCGUUGAACUUAAGCAUAUCAAUAAGCGGAGGA